rnacentral:lncRNA from 1 species
CGUGAUUCUGAGGCUUCCCCAGCCACGUGGAACUCAUGAAAACGGAAGAAUACAAGUGGAAAGGAGAAUGGAAUUGCAGCAAAAGGGAGUAACCAUGCUGAGUUGGGACCUAUUAAAUCAAUAGGUUCCACUUCCCACAACACCUCUGCCACCAACCAAUUGAGGGUCUUCAGGAGAAGUGUUCUUAUCUGUGCAAUAGAGCCUGCCAGAAGGGGCACCUGGCAACCCUCUUCAGAGGCUUGAUCCUGUGCUGCAGAAACCUAUGGACCUGCUCAACCUGUGCACUGGAAUUCCAGGGAUAGACUGAGCUGUCCCUAGGAGGCUGGGAGCAUUCUCCAGCAGAGACCAGCAACUGCCUCCUGCCUGGAGAAUCUGGAAGGAGGAAGGGCGGCUGGAAUCACCUGUGAUGGCAAGUGAGGGAGAGAGGGCAGACAAAGGUAGCAAAACUGCACUCCUAGGACUUGGAAUGGCAAGGACUCCAGUGUGUCAGAGAAGACAGGAAGACCAAGAAACAGCCAAGGAGAGGGGCUGAGGAAUGAGAGAUGGAGGAGACAACAGAUUGUCCUUCCCAUUGCCAAACCUUAGGCCGGGCCUGAGGGGAUCAGACUGGGCAAUUGAAUCCUCAAAGGUUCCUGGAAGGACUCAGACUUGUGUACACAUGGAGAAUAGCGUCUGGCGCCAAGAACGCAGAGCGGCUGAGAACUGGUGUUUCUCCUCUUAGGAAAGAAAAUGACAGGGAAAGGAAGAAAAAUAGGAAAGAAGAAAGGAAGAGAGAGAAGAAGGAAAA